UCGGAGGGGGUGAGUAACGCGUGAGAAUCUGCCUUCAGGUCGGGGACAACCACUGGAAACGGUGGCUAAUACCGGAUGUGCCGAAAGGUGAAAGUUAUUUAGCCUGAAGAGGAGCUCGCGUCUGAUUAGCUAGUAGGUAGGGUAAAAGCCUACCUAGGCGACGAUCAGUAGCUGGUCUGAGAGGAUGAUCAGCCACACUGGGACUGAGACACGGCCCAGACUCCUACGGGAGGCAGCAGUGGGGAAUUUUCCGCAAUGGGCGAAAGCCUGACGGAGCAAUACCGCGUGAGGGAGGAAGGCUCUUGGGUUGUAAACUUCUUUUCUCAGGGAAGAACACAAUGACGGUACCUGAGGAAUAAGCAUCGGCUAACUCCGUGCCAGCAGCCGCGGUAAUACGGAGGAUGCAAGCGUUAUCCGGAAUCAUUGGGCGUAAAGCGUCCGCAGGUGGCUUUGUAAGUCUGCUGUCAAAGAGUGGGGCUCAACUCCGUACGAGCAGUGGAAACUACAUGGCUAGAGUAUGGUAGGGGCAGAGGGAAUUCCUGGUGUAGCGGUGAAAUGCGUAGAGAUCAGGAAGAACACCGGUGGCGAAGGCGCUCUGCUAGGCCAUAACUGACACUGAGGGACGAAAGCUAGGGGAGCGAAUGGGAUUAGAUACCCCAGUGUCACGCGUUACUC
rnacentral:rRNA from 1 species